rnacentral:rRNA from 1 species
GAUGAACGCUGGCGGCAUGCCUAAUACAUGCAAGUCGAGCGGACGGAGGAUUAUUAUGCUUCGCUGAUGUUAGCGGCGGACGAGUAAGGAAUACAGGACUAACCUCACUAUAAGACUGGGAUAACUUCAAGAAACCGUAACUAAUACCAUAAAAUUUUUUGAACCUCCUGGUUUUAAGAUGGCUGACAGUGUUGCUAGAACUUAUUGAUUGAUCUGCGCUGCUUUAGGAGGUUGCUAAGGUAAAGGGUUACGAAGGGAACGAUGCAUAGCCGACCUGCGAGGGUGAGCGGCCAGACUGAGAGUGAGACACGGCACAGAGUCCUACGGAAGCGAGCAGUAGGGAAUCGUGCGCAAUGGGCGGAAGCCAGACGGAGAAGCGCCGAGUGUGUGAUGAAGGUCUUCGGAUCGUAAAACUCUGUUAUUCGGGAAGAAAAGAUGUGUAAGUAGCUGUGAACAAAUUGACGGUACCUAAACAGAAAGCCACGGCUAACUACGUG